CCGCAAACCCCGCCGUUCCCAGGAGCCAUGGCCUACCACCCCUCUGCUCCACCACACCACCACCCCAUAGCCAGACCUCCUCGCUAUGGAGCUUCCAGCCAUCAUCUGAUUGGUCCACAGUUGACCUACUUCCACCCUGGCAGUCGAUAUCAUCACAACUACGAGAACUACACCUUCGGGUUAGGACGCCUGUUCCCCCCAACGGACCUGAAUCCAGUUCCUG